GGUCCCUACGGGAGGCAGCAGUAGGGAAUCUUCGGCAAUGGACGAAAGUCUGACCGAGCAACGCCGCGUGAGUGAAGAAGGUUUUCGGAUCGUAAAACUCUGUUGGUAGAGAAGAACGUUGGUGAGAGUGAAAAGCUCAUCAAGUGACGGUAACUACCCAGAAAGGGACGGCUAACUACGUGCCAGCAGCCGCGGUAAUACGUAGGUCUCGAGCGUUGUCCGGUUUUUUUGGGUGUAAAGCGAGCGCAGGUGGUUUAUUACGUCUGGUGUAUA
rnacentral:rRNA from 1 species